AUUGAACGCUGGCGGCAUGCUUUACACAUGCAAGUCGAACGGCAGCGCGGGCUUCGGCCUGGCGGCGAGUGGCGAACGGGCGAGUAAUGCAUCGGAACGUGCCCAGCCGAUGGGGAUAGCCCGGCGAAAGCAGGAUUAAUACCGCAUCCGACCAGAGGGUGAAAGGGGGGGGCCGAAAGGCCACGCGGUAUUGGCUGGGCCGAUGUCGGAUUAGCUAGUUGGUGGGGUAAAGGCUUACCAAGGCGACGAUCCGUAGCUGGUCUGAGAGGACGACCAGCCACACUGGGACUGAGACACGGCCCAGACUCCUACGGGAGGCAGCAGUGGGGAAUUUUGGACAAUGGGGGCAACCCUGAUCCAGCCAUGCCGCGUGCGGGAAGAAGGCCUUCGGGUUGUAAACCGCUUUUGUUCGGGAAGAAAUCCUCUGGGCUAAUACCCCGGGGGGAUGACGGUACCGGAAGAAUAAGCACCGGCUAACUACGUG
rnacentral:rRNA from 1 species